ACUAUCUUUGCGACGUUUUGUUCCGAGCCGUAAUUCUACGGUUAGGAUUAAAUGGGAAUCGGGUGAGAAUCCCGGACAGUCCCGCUGCUGUAAGCCUAUAAAGGGUCAGGCACUACUUUAGCCACUGUUUCUUUGAAAUGGGAAGGCGCCUGAACCGGGGUAAGUCAGAAGACCUGCAAAACAUUUUUUCAAUAG
rnacentral:ncRNA from 2 species